rnacentral:rRNA from 1 species
UACAGAGGGUGCAAGCGUUAAUCGGAAUUACUGGGCGUAAAGCGCGCGUAGGUGGUUUGUUAAGUUGGAUGUGAAAUCCCCGGGCUCAACCUGGGAACUGCAUCCAAAACUGGCAAGCUAGAGUAUGGUAGAGGGUGGUGGAAUUUCCUGUGUAGCGGUGAAAUGCGUAGAUAUAGGAAGGAACACCAGUGGCGAAGGCGACCACCGUGGACUGAUACUGACACUGGAGGUGCGAAAGCGUGGGGAGCAACAGG